CUAAUGGGAGUCUUUGUCCCAUUAGAUACUAGAGUGUUUUUUGGGCAUUUCUGCAUAUUUAACUCAUUUUACGAUUUUUUGUAAGAUACGCCCUUGUUCCACCGAAGGUGCGAUAUUUUCUAGUUGUAUUUGUAUAU